GAGGAGGCCGAGGAGCGCCUGUGUCUGCUCAAAAGAGUGCUUUGGGUGACUCACUCACUCUCUCAUACAAACUAUCCACGCUCAUCUGCACCAUCCUGAGUUUGUUAUCAUUGUUUCAGGCGCGGAUUUCAAGAAUGCACGAUUGCGGCCCAGCGCUGAGAAUGUGUGCUUGCUGAAUAUCCCACCUGUCCCCCCUCCCUUAUUUUCUUUUUUUUCCUUCACUUUUAUUUGCUUUAAUUUUCCUGCAACAACGCACUCACCAUGUCACAGUCACCUGAAGCUGAGCCUGUUACUGUGGUACCAGCAGAACCAGCAUCAACCACUGAACCAACAUCUGUCACAACCACUGCACCCGUGACCAGAACUUCAUUCUGGAAGGAAAGGAGAAAAAUCCCAGAGAAGACAGAUGAGUUCCUCCUUGCCAGAUUUCAGGGUGAUGGAGUGAGAUUUAAAGCCAAACUUAUUGGUGUGGAUGAUGUUCAAGAUGCAAGAGGGGAUAAAAUGUGUCAGGAUUCCAUGAUGAAACUAAAGGGCAUGGCAAUAGCUGCUCGUUCUCAAGGCAAGCACAAGCAAAGAAUAUGGAUAAACAUCUCUUUAACAGGAAUCAAAAUUGUUGAUGAGAAAACUGGGGUGAUUGAGCAUGAACAUGUGGUGAAUAAGAUCUCCUUCAUUGCUCGUGAUGUCACUGAUAACCGGGCAUUUGGAUAUGUCUGUGGAGCAGAGGGCCAGCAUCAAUUUUUUGCUAUUAAAACAGCUCAGCAGGCUGAGCCUCUAGUCAUUGAUUUGAAGGAUUUGUUUCAGUUGAUCUUUAAUAUGAAGAAGAAAGAGCAGGAGGCUGGACAAAAGGGUGAGGGAAAUGGCACUGAGAAUGGUGGCGAUGCUUUACUCGCUCUGGAUGGAAAAGAAAAUGCUGUAAAAAGUGUAGAGCAGAUGAACCUGUUUGGUGAUAUGUCCACUCCACCUGACAUUCAUUCUCCUACGUCACCGGGUAAUGACCUGUUUGGAUCUGGACUGUUUGCUCCACCUGCCCAAAAUGAGUCUCAGGCAUCAAAUCAGAACUCCUCCAUUCCAGCAGACCUGUUCAACUCCACACCAUCCUCCACUAUCAAUGCUUUUGGGUCCAUGUCUCUUGGCCAUGCUCCAGGGACAGCUCAAGUCUCUUGGGGUCAGACAGCCACAAUGUUCCCUCCUCAGGCCGGUGUUCCUCAAGUAACAAUUCCAGGACCCCCAAGACCUUUUCCUCAGCCAUCUGCCUUUGGAGGCCUGUCUGCACCUGCAUGGGGGCAGCAAGGAGCUUCGCCUUUCGGUCCACCAGCUGGCACACAAGCCUGGGGUCAACCGGGAACCGCAGCACCUGUUGGGACGUGGCCUGCUCCUGGUCCUGUGACUAGUCCCUUCCAACCAAACCAGUUUGCUCCCAUGAUGCCUCCCAAUGCCAUGAUGGGAAUGCAGCAGGGUGCAGUAGCUCCUCCUCGCCCUCCACCCCGUCCUCCAGUGAAAGAAGAGCCCCCAGUGGUCAAAAGUGCCUUUACAGCUUUGGACCCCCUUGGGGAGAAGGAGAGUAAAUCUGGAAAAGACAUGUUCAAAAAUUUCCAGAUGGUUAAACCCCAGAAACCAGAACCAGGGCCUGAUCCAAGCACCAAUGGCUCAUUUGAUCAGUACUUUUCCAAUAAGGUUGGCUUGGCUCAGGAGGCAGCAGAUCAUGAUGAUUUUGAAAUAAACCAAAUCUCCGCUAACUCCAAUGGGACCUCCAAACCUGCUUCUCAGCUGAUCCCUACUAUGGAUGCAAUACCUCAGGCAGCAGGUUUGAUCCCAGCUCCAGCCACAGGGCUUUUGGAUUUGGCCUUUUCCCCUAAUCCAGUCCCUCCACCCACAAACCCAGCUCCUGCAGCAGGCACAGAUCUUUUUGAUGACACUUUUGGAGUGAACCCAUUUGGGGCACCACUCAUGAACACCAGCACUCAGGCCACUCAGAAUGCUGCUCUUGCAGAUGCUUUUGGAGACCCGUUUGGGGGAAAUCCCUUUGCCUGAAAUAUCAGCACUGUUGUUCUGGGAGCUGAGAUGCAUUUAGAUUUUCUAAGACACAUCAAGAACACCUGCUGACCCAGAGCUGCUGAGCGAGAGGGCCACACAAGCACUGUAGAGCUGCUUUUAGCGUUCUACUUGGAAAAGCACUGUUUUGAAAACUUUUAUUCUGUGCUCUGCUGUUCUCAUCCCCACUGUAUAUCUCCUGUACUCUCUCUUUCUGUGCCUUUCUAACUGAUCAACCCCAAGUCACAUGUGAAAUGAGCUGCACAGUGAAGUAGCUGACAAAGGGUUGUAAUUGAAGGAAAGAAUAAAAAAAAAAAAAAGUCAUGCUUAUGUACAUGAGAUUUCCUCUAUGCAAGUAUUCCUGUGCAUUCAUAAUUAAGUAAAAAUGCUUAAUCCUAAUUAAAAAGACAAAUCUGG